AAACGGCAUGGUCAGCCAUGGAUGGAGGAGGAAGAAGCCUCGUGUUAUAUUCUUUCAAUGACCACAUGCAUUCUAAAAGAACUGCACUAAAAAUGGCAGCGAUCUGUUGGAUAAUGGCAAUGGAGAUAAUGUACCGAUGUGAACGCUACUUUCACAUGAAAGCCCAAAAUGAGUAAAAUGUGUUCCUUUGCGUUUGAUAUUUCAUACGAAACGCAUACGCCAAUAAUAAAGACGUAUGGAGCUUCUACCUGCUGUCUGAACGUCGGGAAGCCGUUUCUGUCUUAGACAACUCGACAGUGACCCUUACGAUGGCAUUGGAUGCAUCCUCCGUCAAAGACAUCAGACUUAUGUUCGGCGUCGUCUGCAUCCACUUCAAGAUCGGGCCCGCCUGAGUAUCGCACGCGAUUGUGAGCAAUGCCGUUGUUCCGCACGUCUAAUUAUUUUCCCCGCAACCCGAUUAAAAGUCAUUACAGCACGUUAACAGUUGAUAGAUUUUGACUUUUAUUUAGAAUAUCAGUUAUGCAAAUUCGCAAACUCCUGAACGAACAGUUGAAAGCUAACU